rnacentral:rRNA from 1 species
GACGAACGCUGGCGGCGUGCUUAACACAUGCAAGUCGAACGGAGUGGCGAACGGGUGAGUAACACGUGGGUGAUCUGCCUUGCACUUCGGGAUAAGCUUGGGAAACUGGUUCUAAUACCGGAUAGUGCAAGAUGAGGUCUCGGCCUAUCAGCUUGUUGGUGGGGUAAUGGCCUACCAAGGCGUCGACGGGUAGCCGGCCUGGGAGGGGGUACGGGCACAUUAGGCCUAAGGGACGGACCAGACGCCUACGGGAGGCAGCAGUGGGGAAUAUGGCACAAUGGGCGGAAGCCUAAGGAAGCGACGCCGGGUGGGGGAUGAAGGCCUUGGGGGUGGAAACUCCUUUCGACAGGGACGCGGUACCUGUAUAAGAAGCACCGGCUAACUACGUGCCAGCAGCCGCGGUAAUAC